UUCUUAAUAUUAUAUUAAUAAUAGUAAUUAUUAAUGAAAGACCCACAGAGUGGGGAGACUGUCACUCAAGUCUCGGGAUGAUGUGACCCCCCAAGAACUCACGAGAGACC
rnacentral:miRNA from 14 species